rnacentral:rRNA from 1 species
UACGGAGGGUGCAAGCGUUAUCCGGAUUUACUGGGUUUAAAGGGUGCGUAGGUGGGUCUGUAAGUCAGUGAUGAAAUCUCCGGGCUUAACCCGGAAACUGCCAUUGAUACUAUAGAUCUUGAAUAUCCUGGAGGUGAGCGGAAUAUGUCAUGUAGCGGUGAAAUGCUUAGAUAUGACAUAGAACACCAAUUGCGAAGGCAGCUCACUACGGGAUUAUUGACACUGAGGCACGAAAGCGUGGGGAUCAAACAGG